GAUGAAGAACGUAGCGAAAUGCGAUAAGUAAUGUGAAUUGCAGAAUUCAGUGAAUCAUCGAAUCUUUGAACGCACAUUGCGCCCGCCAGUAUUCUGGCGGGCAUGCCUGUUCGAGCGUCAUUUCAACCAUCAAGCUCCCGGGCUUGCGUUGGGGCCCUGCGGCUGCCGCAGGCCCCUAAAACCAGUGGCGGGCUCGCUGUCACACCGAGCGCAGUAGCAUUUCUUCGCUCUGGGCGCGGCGGCGGGCGCUUGCCGUAAAACAACCCCCCCUUUUCACCAAGGUUGACCUCGGAUCAGGUAGGAAUACCCGCUGAACUUAAGCAUAUCAAUAAGCGGAGGA
rnacentral:misc_RNA from 1 species